rnacentral:rRNA from 1 species
UACGUAGGGGGCAAGCGUUGUCCGGAUUUAUUGGGCGUAAAGAGCGUGUAGGCGGCCGUACAGGUCAGCUGUGAAAACUCGAGGCUCAACCUCGAGACGUCGGUUGAAACCGUACGGCUAGAGUCCGGAAGAGGAGAGUGGAAUUCCCGGUGUAGCGGUGAAAUGCGCAGAUAUCGGGAAGAACACCCGUGGCGAAGGCGGCUCCCUGGGACGGUACUGACGCUGAGACGCGAAAGCGUGGGGAGCGAACAGG